AGAAAAGUAUUUGAUACAGUUGUACAUAAGAGUUUUCAUAUAUAAAUAUAUAUAUAUAAAAAUAUAUAUAUAUCUUUUACAGAGGCUAUUUUAAUCUUUAGUGCAUGGAAAACUGAGUGAGAAUUUACAAUUUUGGCAAUAUUGUUUUCAGUAUCAGGUUGCUGUUAAACUUUGUGAGAGAAAAUAAUUCUGGUGCCUUAAAUGCAUAAGCAGAACUGUUCCAAAGGGAUUGUCCUCUUUUCAAUGGAAGUUCCUUUAAAUCACGUUAUCAAUUGGGUUACUUAGCACAUAUUUCCUUCCCCUCUGAAAUUGAUUGCACUUAACACAUUUAGAAUGGAGAUCUUCAACUGUUUCAAAUGAAGUUUCUAGGGAAAAAAAAAUGUGCAGUGAGGAAUUUUGUAGCAACCUGACCUUGUCCUGGUGGUGGAAGAACUUAAAUUCCAUUUUUGUUUUCCAAAACUACAUAGAAAUUAAGAGUUUCAACUGUGACGUUUGAGCAGACCACACAAGAGGCACUAAAUAAUUCAGCAACAGUGCAGAGCCCCAAAACCAGCAGGCAAAGGGAUUUGUGACUGGAGAGCAUCAAUGCAAAACCAGUAACUCACAGAGUAAAUGUGGGGUGGUCACAUCCACUGCACUGCCCAAAGUGCCUCACAGCAGAGGCGUUAUCUGCCCCUAAUACACUGUCACAGCACUGGGCGCCUCCAGCCCUAAUGCAGCCACUUCCCUUCCCAGCUGGACACAGCUUUGCCUCUGGAAGGUGCGUGGAAUGAUGGAGCUUGGCCCUGUUUGGAAGGAAGAGCCUGUGCCAGUAAAAUGCAUUUUCACACCCAAAAAAAAAUCCAUCUGUUCUGGAGGGGGGUUUGAAACCAUAGAGCUGUUUUGACAACAAAGCUAAACUCACACUCCUGAGCUGACAGCUGUACCCUUAACUCAUCCGAUACUUCUCUUUCCUGCAACACAAUAUUACAUGCUCAUCGAACACCAUUAACCCAACCCGCAGCCAGACUCUCUAUAUGAAAAUAUCCUCUUCGAAUGAAUUAGGCUGCCUUGUGUAGCAGCCCUGGGCUGCUCAGAAACACUCAUUUAGAAGGGAAACUGUAUAGUUCUGGUUGAAAGUGCUCCGUUAAAUGGCAAUGUCCCAAGUAUUUUUAUGUGGUCUUUUAAGUUUGUCCACGAAUGGGGGGAAAAAGAACUACCCCCAUUGGUCACAGAGAUCUUUGUCACUUCUGACUUCACGAUGACGCUUUGUAUUUAUAGAAAGGCUGCUCUCUGUUGGUGUUGGUACCUGUGGAUGGAGGACUCCCAGUUAUUUGUAAUUUGAGUUCUGCUAACAUAAGGUUGCUAACUCUGGUGAUGACUACUUUGGGGGAAGGUUUAUUAGGGGGGGUUGUUACUCUUUUUUCCUUAGGAGCAACUCAGACGCCAGCUCCACUGAAGCCAAGUGGUGGAAAUCCACCUUUGCUCGUUCGGUGGCUCAAAACAAGCAUCGUAGGUAAGGACAGACACAUUUCAUUUGCUGUUCAGCUCCAUCACUUCGGGCUCUGCCCAUGAUGGUGGUUUCAGUGUGGACCAGCUGAACCUGACCUUGAGGAAGCGAGGCAUAACUCAGCCAGGUACCUGUCUGUAUCAGUUCCUGACUAUUGACACGUUUGCACUUUGGGGCAGGUGGCUGAUGAUGUUGAGUGCCAAGUCGAUUCAAAGCAAAGGAAAAUGGAUGUUUGGGAAUUACAAACCCAGCGUCAUUUCCCCUUUACCAGAGGGCAAACUGCGCUGCGGGAGCCCACUGGCAAGGUGCAAACAUUGGGAAUGAUUGGGAUUGGGGAAGAUAGGAAUGAUUUACUGAGCUCAUUUUGCUGGUGGAAAUGUCAUCACCAUUGCGGAUACCAAGCAUAUUUGCCACAUUAACAUUGGAAAGUAAUGUUUCUGCAUAAAGUUAACUGCCUAAUGUUCUGACUUCCACUAAAUAUGUGAAUUUGCUGCUUCUAAGAGGCAAUGUGAAAGAGGAAGUAUUACUUUUGUGUACAAAGUUAUUUAUUUAUUAGAAAAACUUGGUACAAUGUUGUACAUUGACAAACAUGUAAGAUAUUGAAGUGUCUAACAAAAUGGCAUUGAAGUGUCUUUAAUAAAGGUUCAUUUAUAAUAUUACAGCUGUUUGGUUGAGAGUGAGCAUUUGGGAGUUUGGGUUGAAAAUUCAAUAAAAGGCUAAUCUGUUGCUACA
rnacentral:lncRNA from 1 species